rnacentral:rRNA from 1 species
UCUAAAUUACAUUAAAGAAGGGGAUCUUCGGACCUUUCGGUUAAGAGAAAGUCUGUGGGAUAUCAGCUUGUUGGUGGGGUAAUGGCCUACCAAGGCUAUGACGUCUAGGCGGAUUGAGAGAUUGACCGCCAACACUGGGACUGAGACACUGCCCAGACUCCUACGGGAGGCUGCAGUCGAGAAUCUUUCGCAAUGGACGAAAGUCUGACGAAGCGACGCCGCGUGUGUGAUGAAGGCUCUAGGGUUGUAAAGCACUUUCGCCUGGGAAUAAGAGAGAUUGGCUAAUAUCCAAUUGAUUUGAGCGUACCAGGUAAAGAAGCACCGGCUAACUCCGUGCCAGCAGCUGCGGUAAUACGGAGGGUGCUAGCGUUAAUCGGAUUUAUUGGGCGUAAAGGGCGUGUAGGCGGAAAGGAAAGUUAGAUGUCAAAUCUUGAGGCUCAACCUCAAGUCGGCAUCUAAUACUAUCUUUCUAAAGGUUGAAUGGAGAAAAGGGAAUUCCACGUGUAGCGGUGAAAUGCGUAYAUAUGUGGAAGAACACCAGUGGCGAAGGCGCUUUUCUAAUUUUUCCUGACGCUAAGGCGCGAAAGCAAGGGGAGCAAA